UACGGGGGGAGCAAGCGUUGUUCGGAUUUACUGGGCGUAAAGGGCGCGUAGGCGGCCACCGCAAGUCGACUGUGAAAUCUCCGGGCUUAACCCGGAAAGGUCAGCCGAUACUGCGGGGCUAGAGUGCAGAAGGGGCAACUGGAAUUCCUGGUGUAGCGGUGGAAUGCGCAGAUAUCAGGAGGAACACCGGUGGCGAAGGCGGGUCUCUGGGCAGUAACUGACGCUGAGGAGCGAAAGCGUGGGGAGCGAACAGG
rnacentral:rRNA from 1 species